GACGAACGCUGGCGGCGUGCUUAACACAUGCAAGUCGAACGGAAAGGCCCUGCUUUUGUGGGGUGCUCGAGUGGCGAACGGGUGAGUAACACGUGAGUAACCUGCCCUUGACUUUGGGAUAACUUCAGGAAACUGGGGCUAAUACCGGAUAGGAGCUCCUGCUGCAUGGUGGGGGUUGGAAAGUGUCGGCGGUUGGGGAUGGACUGGCGGCUUAUCAGCUUGUGGGUGGGGUAGUGGCUUACCAAGGCUUUGACGGGUAGCCGGCCUGAGAGGGUGACCGGCCCCAUUGGGACUGAGAUGCGGCCCAGACUCCUACGGGAGGCAGCAGUGGGGUAUGUUGCACAAUGGGCGGAAGCCUGAUGCGGCAACGCCGCGUGCGGGAUGACGGCCUUCGGGUUGGUAACCGCUUUCGCAUGUGACGAAGCGUGAGUGACGGUAAUGGGUAAAGAAGCACCGGCUAACUACGUG
rnacentral:rRNA from 1 species